GCUGUCGCCGAGCGUCGGAGCCCGAGGGGCCGCGGCCGCGCGCCGCGGGGGGAGGAGACGGUCUGGAGUCCCCCCGCUGCGCCGGGGAUGAGGAGACGGAGGACUGCAGCGCCCCUUGGGGUUUCUGAGGCGCCCAGGUAACCUCACCUGGCCGCCAGUCUCCCGCAGGAGGAACAGACACAUUGGUUCUACACCGAACCUAUUAACAGCUCAACUUCAAAUAUUUGAGGUGGGAUUGCUGUUCACUAAGGUUAUAUGAGCCAGCUUGGUUACGCAAAUGUGAAAAUGCACAUUUUCCAGCCUGUGGUAAGGUGGAAACAUCAGGGCAGAAGAACAUAACUGAUAAUAGCUGCUCACACCUAAGUAGCCAGGAAGCAGAGAGAAAUGGAGACCAGCCUAUGAGGACACAUACCUAGUGACCUUCUUCCCAACUUUGGGUUUCCACCAAUUCACAAGAACACCAUUAAUUAUGAAUUCAUCAACAAACCAAUUCAUCAAUUAAGUUAAAGCUCCCAUGAUGCAAUCACUUCCCUGCAUCCUCCCGUCUGAACAUCCUCGCCAUUGAGAACCAAGCCUUCAACACAUGAGUCUGGGCACAAUGAGUCACAUUGAAUCCAUUGAAGAUGUAAAUUUUAAUGGUUGAAAAUGACUAGCAUAUUAUGUCUGUGAAAUUCAGUAAAGGGGAAUGUGGAAGAGAACGUGUACUAAAACUAAGCGUUCUAGAACGCAUCUGUGCUCUUCCUUUCAAUCUGGAGAGUGAGACAAGGAAGUCUUAAGUUCAAGGCCAGCCUGGGCUAUGUAGUGUAUGCUACCAUUGGCUAUAUAAUCUGACUCCAGCAUUACAAGAAGUAGAGUAAAUAAAAGAUAAAAAAAAAUGACUAUAGAAGUAUCAAGAUAUUAUGACUCAUUCAUAUGAUUUCUGCAAUUGAUUUAGUAUGGCAUAUGAUUUAGUAAUCAAAGUGGAUGAAGAUGAUAUAUAUGCGUUAAUAAGAAUAAGUAUGUGAGACUAAACACAGAAUGUCCACCAGACACUGGGAAGUAAUUAGAUUCAACUCUUGUAAAAAUGUUCAACAGGAAGAAAAAAAAAACUAUAACUUUGCUUUAUACUUGGAUAGUUACUUUCAGUCAUACGGGUAUGGAAUAAAAUGAAAGGAAAAUGCAGAUGGGAUCUGAAGGCCAGCCUUCUAUUAUACUAUUAAAUUGUAGUGCAGG
rnacentral:lncRNA from 1 species